rnacentral:rRNA from 1 species
UAGUCAUAUGCUUGUCUUAAAGACUAAGCCAUGCAUGUCUAAGUAUAAGUAUUAUACAGCGAAACUGCGAAUGGCUCAUUAAAACAGUUAUAGUUUAUUCGAUUAUUUGCCCCCUACAUGGAUAACCGUAAUAAUUCUAGAGCUAAUACAUGCUGUCAAACCUGACUUUUGCGGAAGGGUUGUAUUUAUUAGAUAUAAACCAAUAUCCUCACGGAUGUUGUGAUGAUUCAUAAUAACUGAGCGGAUCGCGGCCUCGCCGCGACGAAUCGUUCAAGUUUCUGCCCUAUCAGCUUUCGAUGGUAGUGUAUUGGACUACCAUGGCGAUCACGGGUAACGGGGAAUUAGGGUUCGAUUCCGGAGAGGGAGCCUGAGAAAUGGCUACCACAUCUAAGGAAGGCAGCAGGCGCGUAAAUUACCCAAUCCUAAUUCAGGGAGGUAGUGACAAGAAAUAACAACUCGGACCUCACACGAGGUUACGGGAUUGCAAUGAGAACAAUUUAAACCACUUAUCGAGUAACAAUU